rnacentral:rRNA from 1 species
GGCUUAGAGUUUGAUCAUGGCUCAGGAUGAACGCUGGCGGCGUGCCUAACACAUGCAAGUCGAACGGAGUCAUUUUGGAAAGUUCUUCGGAACUGGAAUCUUUGACUUAGUGGCGGACGGGUGAGUAACGCGUGAGCAAUCUGCCUUUCAGAGGGGGAUAACAGCCGGAAACGGCUGCUAAUACCGCAUAAUGCAUCGAAUUCGCAUGUUUUUGAUGCCAAAGAUUCUAUCGCUGAAAGAUGAGCUCGCGUCUGAUUAGCUAGUUGGCGGGGUAACGGCCCACCAAGGCGACGAUCAGUAGCCGGACUGAGAGGUUGAACGGCCACAUUGGGACUGAGACACGGCCCAGACUCCUACGGGAGGCAGCAGUGGGGAAUAUUGCGCAAUGGGGGCAACCCUGACGCAGCAACGCCGCGUGAUUGAUGAAGGUCUUCGGAUUGUAAAAAUCUUUAAUCAGGGACGAAACAAAUGACGGUACCUGAAGAAUAAGCUCCGGCUAACUACGUGCCAGCAGCCGCGGUAAUACGUAGGGAGCAAGCGUUAUCCGGAUUUACUGGGUGUAAAGGGCGUGUAGGCGGGCUUGUAAGUUGGAAGUGAAAUCUCGGGGCUUAACCCCGAAACUGCUUUCAAAACUGCGAGUCUUGAGUGAUGGAGAGGCAGGCG